GCUGGGCGUGGUGGCGGGCGCCUGUAAUCCUAGCUACUCGGGAGGCUGAGGCAGGAGAAUUACUUGAACCUGGGCAACAGAGGUUGCAGUGAGCUGAUCGCACCACUGCACUCCAGCCUGGGUGAUAGAGUAAGACUCUGUCUCAC
rnacentral:SRP_RNA from 1 species